UACAGAGGGGGCAAGCGUUGCUCGGAAUCACUGGGCGUAAAGCGCACGUAGGCGGAUUGCUAAGUCAGGGGUGAAAUCCUGGAGCUCAACUCCAGAACUGCCCUUGAUACUGGCGGUCUCGAGUCCGGGAGAGGUGAGUGGAACUGCGAGUGUAGAGGUGAAAUUCGUAGAUAUUCGCAAGAACACCAGUGGCGAAGGCGGCUCACUGGCCCGGUACUGACGCUGAGGUGCGAAAGCGUGGGGAGCAAACAGG
rnacentral:rRNA from 1 species